GUGCUCACUUCGGCAGCACGUAUACAAAAAUUGGAACAAUACAGAGACGAUUAGCAUGGCCACUGAGUACAGAUGACAUACAAAUUUGUGAAGGCUUCCAUAUUCUU